rnacentral:tRNA from 1 species
UCUCUGGCGGUCCAGUGGUUAGGACUUUGCACUUUCAUUGCCAGGGCCCAGGUUCAAUCCCUGGUUGGGGAA